GAUGAACGCUGGCGGCGUGCCUAAUACAUGCAAGUCGAGCGAACAGACGAGGAGCUUGUUCCUCUGACGUUAGCGGCGGACGGGUGAGUAACACGUGGAUAACCUACCUAUAAGACUGGGAUAAAUUCGGGAAAACGGAGCUAAUACCGGAUAAUAUCUUGAAUCGAAUGGUUACAUAGUGAAAGACGGUUUUGCUGUCACUUAUAGAUGGAUCCAGACCGCAUUAGCCAGUUGGUAAGGUAACGGCUUACCAAGGCAACGAUGCGUAGCCGACGUGAAAGGGUAAUCGGCCACACUGGAACUGAUGCACGGUCCAGACUCCUACGGGAGGCAGCAGUAGGGAAGCUUCCGCAAUGUGCGAAAGCUUGACGAAGCAACGCCGCGUGAGGGAUGAAGGUCUUCGGAUCGUAAAACUCUGUUAUUAGGGAAGAACAAAUGUGUAAGUAACUAUGCACGUCUUGACGGUAUCUAAUCAGAAAGCCACGGCUAACUACGUG
rnacentral:rRNA from 1 species